rnacentral:rRNA from 1 species
UCUGGUUGAUCCUGCCAGUAGUCAUAUGCUUGUCUCAAAGAUUAAGCCAUGCAUGUCUAAGUACAAACCUUAAUACGGUGAAACCGCGAAUGGCUCAUUAAAUCAGCUAUGGUUCCUUAGAUCGUCUCAUCCUACUCGGAUAACUGUGGAAAAUCUAGAGCUAAUACGUGCUUACAAGCCCUGACCUCACGGGAGGGGCGCAUUUAUUAGAUCAAAACCAAUCGGGGCUUGCCCCGUCUGCUUGGUGACUCUGGAUAACUUUUGUGCUGAUCGCAUGGCCUCUGCGCUGGCGACGUAUCUUUCAAGUGUCUGCCCUAUCAACUUACGAUGGUAGGUGAUAUGCCUACCAUGGUUAUAACGGGUAACGGGGAAUCAGGGUUCGAUUCCGGAGAGGGAGCCUGAGAAACGGCUACCACAUCUAAGGAAGGCAGCAGGCGCGCAAAUUACCCACUCCCGGCACGGGGAGGUAGUGACGAAAAAUAACGAUACGGGACUCUUUUGAGGCCCCGUAAUUGGAAUGAGUACACUUUAAAUCCGUUAACAAGUAUCUAUUGGAGGGCAAGUCUGGUGCCAGCAGCCGCGGUAAUUCCAGCUCCAAUAGCGUAUAUUAAUGUUGCUGCAGUUAAAAAGCUCGUAGUUGGAUCUGAGGACUCGAAUUGGUGGUGCACCAUACGGUGUUACUGCCGAUUCGGCCUACCUAGUCGGUGCUCGCUCUUGGUGUUCUUAAUUGAAUGCCCUGAGUGCCCGGCAAGUUUACUUUGAAAAAAUUAGAGUGCUCAAAGCAGGCCAUUAGCCGGAAUACUUCAGCAUGGAAUAAUGGAAUAGGACUUCGGUUCUAUUUUGUUGGUUUUCGGAACCCGAGGUAAUGAUUAAGAGAGACAGACGGGGGCAUUCGUACUGCGGUGUUAGAGGUGAAAUUCUUGGAUCGCCGCAAGACGAACAACUGCGAAAGCAUUUGCCAAGAAUGUUUUCAUUAAUCAAGAACGAAAGUCAGAGGUUCGAAGACGAUCAGAUACCGUCCUAGUUCUGACCAUAAACGAUGCCAACUGGCGAUCCGAGAUCGUUUGCUUAUUGACCUCUCGGGCAGCCUCCGGGAAACCAAAGUUUUUAGGUUCCGGGGGAAGUAUGGUUGCAAAGCUGGAAACUGUUCAAUUGCAACUCUGCCUGUGACACCAAGUGGUCGGGUUACUUGGUCUGUUCUGGCCCGGAGUCGGUAGGGUUUCCGGCCUUGUGCUCUUUCCUUACUGUUCUCUGUAACGCCGAAGGCGGGGCUUCCACGGUGGGGAAGCGGUUGUACAAAUCCGGCAAAUCCAGCCAAAUGGGUUCCGGACUCUGUCCAACCUGCAACUGGUAACAGCCUCGGCUGGCUAACAUUUGAGCUGGGACUCGCUUGGGAGGAGCGAGGAUAAUAUAAACCUCUAUGUGACUGAGGUGAGGAAUCUGGUUCUCGUAAAAUGGCUGGAGAUCCCGAGCCUGUAAGUCAUAAAUUAGUUCCCCCACGAGGGAGAGGUGUCGAAUUGAAGCCAGUGCGUGCCCUUACUAGUUUAAGGGAUUGUAUACUUCCUUUGGUGUACCCACCUGGAAGUGCCCAAGGGGUCCUAUCCCUGCACU